rnacentral:miRNA from 1 species
GGGUGUCAUCUCGCCUGAAGCA